GACGUAGGGUGCAAGCGUUGUCCGGAUUUACUGGGCGUAAAGAGCGCGUAGGCGGUCUGUUAAGUGAGAUGUGAAAGCUCCGGGCUCAACUCGGGAAUGGCUUUUCAUACUGGCAGGCUGGAGUGAUGCAGAGGUUUGUGGAAUUCCUGGUGUAGCGGUGAAAUGCGUUGAUAUCAGGAGGAACACCCAUGGCGAAGGCAGCAAACUGGGCAUCAACUGACGCUGAGGCGCGAAAGCGUGGGGAGCAAACAGG
rnacentral:rRNA from 1 species